AACUGUAAGUUUAGGGAGGUGGAGCAGCGAGAAGAAAGAAGGGCGAGUCUCUGGAACCGGCUGUAAUCCAGCAGCUGGCUCGGGCCGAAGGAUAAACGGUAGCUGCUGCAGCGGACACACCUCCGCGCGCGAGGCGGGAACUGCGAUGGCCACACCUGCGCCGCGUAACCCGAGGGGGUAGAAUACAGCUUGUAAUAAUACACACCAUAUAGACCAUGACAGAUCCUAGGCUCCCGGAACAGUUCCUGGCUCGAUGUAUUAUUAAGAUUUCACUGAAGACGGGAAAACCUAAAAGUGUGACUGCAGGUUUAAGAAAAUGAAGUAAGUAAAUUUAUUACUUGUUGAAAUAUGGUGAUUAUCUUAUGGG